rnacentral:rRNA from 1 species
UACGUAGGGUGCGAGCGUUACUCGGAAUUACUGGGCGUAAAGUGUGCGCAGGCGGCCGCGCAAGUCGAGUGUGAAAUCCCCGAGCUUAACUUGGGAAUUGCGCUCGAAACUACGUGGCUGGAGUGUGGCAGAGGAAGGUGGAAUUCCACGUGUAGCGGUGAAAUGCGUAGAGAUGUGGAGGAACACCGAUGGCGAAGGCAGCCUUCUGGGCCAACACUGAUGCUCAUGCACGAAAGCGUGGGGAGCAAACAGG